UAAUAUAUUUCUAUACUGUGAGAGAAAGUUAGUGAAGGAACUUGACAG
rnacentral:rRNA from 1 species